rnacentral:lncRNA from 10 species
CAGCUUUAAAGCUGUAGUCACUCCUCUGGGGUCUGAUAAAAUGAGCAUCAGUUGAUCGGAAGAGUAUUUGAUCUUUGUCUUUCCUGUUUAAUGUUGCUUGGUGGAAAACCGUAAUUCAAAGAAAAGCAAUAGAAAACUAACCAGAAUAAACAUGGCCAUUCUUGAUAGACAUGUUGACUGAUGGACUGAGAGAUAUAGAUACAUGCCAUGAGAUCUCUUUAUGAGCAGUGGUCUUAUGGAUAUCUGCAUGACCUCUGCUGAAGUAAAAUACUGUGGUUCGUGAGAAGACGUGACCUUUGGAUACAGCUGGUCUAGUCCUGGCUCUGCUGUGUCAGUGAAAGUGGAACAGUUACAUGGCUCUCCCGAAUCUCUGUUUUCACUUGGUUAAAUGAGGGUUACAU